GAUCAAUCAAAACAACCUACAAUCGUGCACGAAAGUUGAGGUGGAUAUGGACGUCAUGUCGUUGAAUCCUGGUUACGGUCCGAUUCUUGAAAACAACACCAUUUCUACAAGUUUAUGUAAUACAUUUGCCGCAGCCCGUUGACAUUCAUGGAUCGAUUCCAAGUAUGCACAGAACGCGUUUGGAGAACAGAUUUACCAAGUGUUGAGUGUUUUCUAGAAUGAAAUGGAAGUCAAGGCUAUUUCUUUGCAGAAAGAUGAGCUGAGAGCCAAGCUGAGGUCAAUGCCAAAGAAAGAUGCCAGCCUGCAGAGAGAUGUUGGCCUCUUGGAGCAUCUACAAAGGGCUAAAUCGGGAGCCAUUGGCAUCGCACUGGAGGCCAUGGUCAUGUUCAAGGGGAGUCGCACCUGGGAUUGGCUUCAGUCUUUGGACAGAGAAAAAAGAACGUCAGUGCUGAAAGCACUUCAGCAGGCAGUUAAGCAAAAAAAAGUGUUGGCAACAGAGCGCUCAAGUCUCCAGAAUGGGAAAGGCAACCGCACGAAAGCAGUUGUGAAGCCUGGACAUGCUGCCACUGAGAAACAACAGAAAAUUGCUGAACAGAACAUUGAGGGAAUGACAGUGAAGUCAGAGGAGAGGGAUUCCGGGCUUGAGAUUGCAGUUGCCAGACCUCAACAAUCACCCCUACAGGGUGAAAGCACAAUGACAGUGAAGUCUGAGGAGAUGGAGAGGGAAGUAGCAAGACCUCAACAAUCAGCCCUACGGGGCGAAGUGAGUCCUGCUGAAAAUACUUGUUGUAGAUAAACAGAAAGCUAUGGAGCAUGAACAACACCAUCCAGGUGGACACUAUACCAUGAUGAAACAUGAUUUGAUCAGAGAGUUAGAGAAGUGUGGUGGUUUGUGGGAGAAAGAGGAUGAUAUGGAUGAACAUUUGGCUUUAUUAGAUAAACAUGAUAGGUAUUCUGCAGUUAUCUGCCAACUUCAGUUCCGGAAAUAUGUCCUUUGUAUGAAAAAUGAGAACGGGCUUCUCAAUGUUUCAGUUGCCAGCAUAAAACUUAGCUUUGAAGAACUUGUGACAAAUUUGGGGUCAUUUAUCUCAAAGAUCAACACCUCUGAAGAAGUCAAAGCCCGCAGUCUGAAACGAAAAGCAGACACAACUGAGACAUUGCCCGACAAACCAUCCAAAAAGAUGGUGAAAGUGGCUGAGAAUGUUGUGGGCAGGGUUUCAAAGUGUGCCACAGGUGUGGUUAGGGAUACAGAGCCAAUGAAGAGCUACACACCCAGAAAACAAAAACAUUGCCUACCUGCUGAAGUUACUGUUCAGGUGGAUUAACAUGAAAAAGGGCGGGAGAUCCUCUAGAAAAGUAGCACUCACAAAGCCAGUACACAUCCAGUAAUGAAGAGAACAGAGAAAAACACGAGAUUUUAGUGAAACUAAGACCACAGAUCUAAUUGUAUUAUGACUAGGUCUACUAAAUGGGGGAAAAAGGUUGUUUAGUCUGACAAAAAUACCAUUUCCUAGGCUUAAGUUUUCAUCAGUGUUGAAAGCAGAUGUGUCUUUAGAAUCUUAUAGACAGAUGUAUCAGUAGUGACUGAGCUGUAUAAAUUGUCACAAUGUGUAGAUGGGAACGUGAAACAACUAAUGCUUUUACUUUAUUUAAACUUUAUACCAGCAAGAAUUUGGACUAUGAGCUGCUUCCAGUGUUGACUUAGGCCAUAUUCAGCACAAUUCACAAUGGUCAAACCUAUCCGUGAUUCUAACCAGGUUACAGGAUAGAGGAGAAAGAAGUGUGUCUUUUGAGAGAGACAAUCUACCUACUUGACCCAUUUAAGGCCUUUUUUUUUUGCAUUUGUCUAUCAAAAUCAUUUUAGUUGGGAAAGGAAGGUUAGUGGGUAAGGUGAACUGGGAAAGAUGACCCUUGGCUUCCUUCAAAGUCCUUAUCACUUCUAUGGAUAUCAAGUUGUCUGUUAAGAAGCCGUACCUUGGAAAGUCAUUACAGGAAUUGGACAGAAAAACCUAUGAGACAUUUUUAUUUUUGUUCAUUUUUCUUUGGAUGGACUUGAAUUGUGAAUUUUCCCCAUGGCAGUUGAUCCUUGGGAGAGAACAAAAGCUCAUCUACAGUAUAGGAGACAAAAUCAGUGAGAAAUGACAAUCAUCAUUUUAGCCUUGUUUUUAUUUUUUGGUUUGAUUUUCCCGAAGACGAUACUUCAGAAUUGUUCAAGUUUUACCACUGACGUUUUGGAAAGAAUCUGUUAAAGGGGGAACUGUCCUUGGUGAAGGGGCACUCCCACUGUGGUACAAGUGUAACUCUUUGUUUACCUUGGAUGCUGUAAUCGCUCACCUGCUGUGGAACAGAAAAGGUAAGUGACUCCUGAUCACUUUUUAAUGAGCCGUUUUAUUUCACACAGAGCAGUGAGUUUAGAACACAGAGGUAUGCAGUAGCUGCUGUUUUAUAAUGUGUUGUCUCCCUUUUUAGAGCUGGACAAAAAUACAUAACGCGAUAAAUUGCCUGAAUUGAUGCGAGAACAAUACCUUUAUAACAAUAAUGUGCACCACAGUUUUUUUUUAAUGAUCCUUUAAAUUACUUCUAACAGUUUGGUAGUUGUAGCCAUCAAUUGUCCUGUUAACAAUCAGUCAUAUUAGCAAACUUAUUUCAUUUCAAACUUCACAUUUCUCUAGUAUACACUACUUAUUGUAAUGAACCAUAUCAGCAAAAUGCCUGCGAUAAGCAAUCGGUAUGGUCAGUGUCGAUCAUUUCCGGUUUAUCGUCCCAGCUCUACUCCCUCUACAGGUAAACAAUCUGUAUUCCGUUUCCCCUGAGGUCAGUCAUCUGAGGAGUGCUGUGGUUCUGCUCCUACUGCUCACAAGAGAAGACCUCAAUACCUGGCCGGUUUGAGAGACAACAUUUAUAUAAAAACACCCACACCCUUAAACAGAGUCUGAAAGUGCAGUCAUAUUCUAAGUUUGUGUUGUCUUCCACUACAGGUAAACAAUCCCAGUGACAUGAUUCAUGUAUGCAGCAUCUCCUGACCAGCAAUACGGUUAUCUGAGUGGUCAUCUCAGUCUUGUGUCCACUGUUCACAAUAGAAUACCUCAAGACCUAAAAAAGGUUGGUUGGUAAGGUCUGUCUGUCUGUCUGGCUCUGUCUGUCACUCUCUGUCUCUCUCUCUGUCUCUCGUCAUCGUAGCCUGUAUAACUGUCUCCUUUCAAUGUAGCCAUCUCUGACUGUGCUUAUCUGUCCAUAACACUUUUUAAUUACCACGUUUCAGAUGGAGUUUAGGGAAUGUUGUGUCUCUAGAACUGUGGUCCCAGGACAGAAGCAGUGGAUGAGUCCACCUGACCAUUCAAACUCAGGCGCUGACAUAUCAGAAGGCUGGUCCCUGUUAUUGAUGCAGUUUGUUGUAUGUAUAAUACAAUAAGCUACUCUAUCAAAACAUAUGUAUCUAUGAAUGAUAGACGCUUGGUUUUACUUACAGGGCUCCACUAAUAUUAGACAACAGACAGCAGAAGACCAUUCAGACAUGAUGAUGCAGACAUACUACAUCAUUACUGCAGGUUAACAGUUAGGUUAGGUUCUCUGUCUGUCUCUCUGUCUGUCUCUCUGUCUGUCUCUCUGUCUGUCUCUCUGUCUGUCUGUCUGUCUCUUUUUUUUUUUACUAACAAAAUAAAUGUUCUCACAGGUAGUUGGAUAAAUGCACCAUCUCUACAACCCAUGGAUCCAGGCCAGGGGCAGUAGAUACCACCAUCUCUACAACCCAUGGAUCCAGGCCAGGGGCAGUAGAUACCGCCGCCUUUCAAACACCUGGGAUGACAUAUCUGCAGGUUUCUCUCCUCAGUCUGUAUCCAGAGAGUCCCUCAUCCUCUUUGUGCCAGGAUAAGGAUCUUAGACCUUGUCCUUGGUGUGGUUUUGGACCAACUCUGUUUCUGUAAAGAAGACACCUUGUCUGCAUCAUCACACGGCCAACAGACAGCCAACUGACUGCCUCUGGCCUCCAUGCCUGUGUUUCUGUCCGCUUAGAGGACUGACUGACUGUUCUGAGACCUGUUGUCCCACAUUCCACUGAUUCAUUCCACAGCAGAACCACGACUGAUUAGGAUGUUACAGGACAAAAGAGACUCAUCUGUGAGUAGAGACUACAGCACCCACAAAGCAUUGCAGCUUCCCUUACUGACACUUGUAGGCCUACUUGCACUGCCUGCUUUUACUACUGUCUCAAGGUAAUUUUUUUCUGAGUUAAUGUUCUGUAAAUACUCCCAGGUUUGGUGUUUCAGAUGUUCAUGGUCUAUGUUACCAGUUUUACACUGUGUGGACUUGGGGUUUUUGUUCUCCAGGAAAUUGCAGCUUGUGGAAAAUAUCACACAAUUUACUGCUGACAAAUUUGACAUUUCUAUUUUUCUUUUAUGUUGGAACAUGUUCUGUUUCUGGAUAAUAAAGUAUACUUUGAAUAUCAUAUUUAUGGAUUAUAAUUGCUUAUAGAAAAAAAACGACAUUAAAUAUUUGUU
rnacentral:lncRNA from 1 species